CCAAGCGACUGUUUACCAAAAACAUAGGUUUCUGCUAAGUCGCAAGACGAUGUAUAGGAGCUGACGCCUGCCCGGUGCUGGAAGGUUAAGGGGAUCUGUUAGAGCAAUCGAAGCAGUGAACUUAAGCCCCAGUAAACGGCGGCCGUAACUAUAACGGUCCUAAGGUAGCGAAAUUCCUUGUCGGGUAAGUUCCGACCCGCACGAAAGGCGUAACGAUUUGGGCACUGUCUCAACAACAGACUCGGUGAAAUUGUAAUUCCGGUGAAGAUGCCGGAUACCUGCGACAGGACGGAAAGACCCCAUGGAGCUUUACUGUAGCUUGACAUUGGGUCUUGGUACUACAUGUACAGGAUAGGUGGGAGGCUUUGAAACCAGGACGCCAGUUUUGGCGGAGCCAUCCUUGGGAUACCACCCUUGUAGUACUGGGACUCUAACCAUAGGCCAUGAAUCUGGUCUUGGGACACUGUCAGGUGGGCAGUUUGACUGGGGCGGUCGCCUCCCAAAAGGUAACGGAGGCGCUCAAAGGUUCUCUCAGUACGGUCGGAAAUCGUACGUAGAGUGUAAAGGCAAAAGAGAGCUUGAUUGCAAGACAUACAGGUCGAGCAAGGAUGAAAAUCGGACUUAGUGAUCCGGUGGUUCUGCGUGGAAGGGCCAUCGCUCAACGGAUAAAAGCUACCCUGGGGAUAACAGGCUUAUCUCCCCCAAGAGUCCACAUCGACGGGGAGGUUUGGCACCUCGAUGUCGGCUCAUCACAUCCUGGGGCUGUAGUAGGUCCCAAGGGUUGGGCUGUUCGCCCAUUAAAGUGGUACGCGAGCUGGGUUCAGAACGUCGUGAGACAGUUCGGUCCCUAUCCGUCGCAGGCGUAGGAAAUUUGAGAAGACCUGUCCUU
rnacentral:rRNA from 1 species